rnacentral:lncRNA from 1 species
ACUAAAAAUUUCUCCCUUUCUUGAAUUUCUUCCCUCAUCAGAAUCAAAUACAUGGUCCAAAUCUAGACCUUGUUCUUCUUUCUCAAAAGUAACAUUGUUUCCAAUGAAACUAGACACAUUUAACAAAGAAAAUGUUUUCCAAUAACAUUGGAAAACAACUAUAGUAGCAACAAACACAACAACAAUUAACAAAUGUCUAAAUCUCACAUAAAAAGAGAUACCCAUUUCAAAAAAAACUCAAAUGAUUACUUCAAACUAAACUAUAACAUAAUCAACUCGUUGGACUCACGUGGUUAAUGAACUUCAAUUAAUGAUGAAUUGUUCAGAAGAACCUUAAUUCGAAUCCUAGUUAAAACAAUUUAUUAAUGAUGAAUUGUUCGGAAAAACCUCAAUUCGAAUCCUAGUCGAAACAAUUAUUUGCUAGACUAUACUUAUUCCGAAAAAUUAAGACAAAAAAAAAAUUAACUAAAACACUUCUCAUCAUUACAUUGACUUAAAAAUCCUGAGCCAAAACCUGAAAUGGUAGUUUAAAUUAAAUAAAGUUACAUACAAAAAAAUAAAAGAAAUGAAAUUUUGAAGAAACUAAAGAUAACCCAAGUUACUGAAUGCAUAGAUAUUACCAUAUUCUCUCUCUGUGUUGUUGAAUCCAAUAGCUAUUGAAAUCAUGUGCUGAAGGAGUCAAUAGCUGAUAUUUGGAAUUGGUUGAAUCAACUUUGGAACCAAACUCAAGAGUGAGUGACCCUUCAAAGUUCAAUGUCAUACAAACUAAGAUCGCCUCUACAUUUAAUUUCUUUCCCAUUUUUAUUUAUA